AGGAAGAAGCAUUCGCUCUAUGGCAACAACAGUGGGCAAGGUUAUAUCCAGAGGGAUCCAAAUCGCGUGAAAUUAUUGACACAAUUCACGACAACUACCUGUUGGUCAACUUGGUCGAUAACGAUUAUGUCGCUGGGAAUUGUUUGUUUGAAGCAAUAAAGAAAGCUGUUGAACUGGUAGACACGAAGGAACAAACCGAUGCAUCCGUCGUAACCAAAGAUGAUGGGAUUAACUCUGGCUAGGCCAGUAAAGCUUGUUGUCUUCAUCGGAAUAGAAAUAAUAUGCUUGCUCUCAAAGAAAGUCGAUUCACUUGUUGGAAUACCAUAUUAUUCUCGCCAGGCUCAGCCGUUACGCUAUAUCGAGUAUCGACCUACAAUGUGGACUGUACUUCUCCAAUAUACCGUAGUGUAUUUGCG